UGGGGAAUAUUGGACAAUGGGCGCAAGCCUGAUCCAGCCAUGCCGCGUGAGUGAUGAAGGCCUUAGGGUUGUAAAACUCUUUCGCCGAGGACGAUAAUGACGGUACUCGGAGAAGAAGCUCCGGCUAACUUCGUGCCAGCAGCCGCGGUAAUACGAAGGGGGCUAGCGUUGUUCGGACUUACUGGGCGUAAAGCGCGUGUAGGCGGGUCGUUAAGUUGGGGGUGAAAUCCCGAGGCUCAACCUCGGAACUGCCUCCAAAACUGGCGACCUGGAGCAAGAUAGAGGCGAGUGGAAUUCCGAGUGUAGAGGUGAAAUUCGUAGAUAUUCGGAGGAACACCAGUGGCGAAGGCGACUCGCUGGAUCUUUGCUGACGCUGAGACGCGAAAGCGUGGGGAGCAAACAGGAUUAGAUACCCGAGUAGUCCCUGAGCGGGCUGGCAAGGCGCAU
rnacentral:rRNA from 1 species